GUGAAAUGGCAGCUAGAAAAUCGCUUGCAUUCCUACAAUCUGUGAUCGCUGUUACUAAAACUCACGAUGAAGUGGUCAAGGAGAAAUUUAAGCCUGGAAAGUACGUCUUCACCGUUGCCGCCAAUAUCAAAAUCGCGGCUGUGAUAAUCCUUCUCGCUUGUUUGGCGAUAACUAUUAGCUCGGAUUAUUGCGUGGAAAAUGUAAUUUAUCGAUAUCUCAUUGGAAUUGUAUCAGGGUUGACUUUAAUUAUAGUAUUCUGCCUGUACGUAAUCUUUAGUUCUGGUGUGGUCGUUCAAAGGACAACCACUUGGGUGAAAAUAGAUAUAAUCACCAAUUUGAUUUUAGCUCUGUUGACAAUAAUUUCAUGUUCUCUUUGUAUGAACAUGUGCUUGAUAAAUUCUACAAUUCGCAAGGUUCCAGGUCCUCUCGGUCUUACAGGUGGAGCUCUUUUGAUAAGUAGUUGCGCUGCUCUGUUUCUGUUAUACAGGUAUAGAGAAGACGAGGUGGUGGAAUCCCUACCAAGACCUAUGCAACCUCGAAAGUCAAUCUUUGCGUAGAUACAUCUUGCAGUAUUCUUGAUUAUAUUAGAUUACAUCGGUAGCGUAUUUAGCAUGUCUUUGUAUAUCGGGAACUGUGAAAGUGGGAUUAUUUAUGUUGCCAUUAGUCAGUCGAAUUAGAUUGAUGAUGUACAUCACAUUCCUGAGUAUUUUAGUUACAUGUUUAUUGUUGUUCCUCGAUAUUUCACAUAUGAUAUAUUUAUUCCCAUUUCCAUGGGGAAAUUGGUGAGCGUUACUCUUAAAUGCGAUUCUUGCUUGAAAAAGUAAAUAAUAUAGUCUGUCUGAAAUAAUUGAAGUAUGUAUCAACAGAAUCAUAUGUUCCUAUAUGAGUACUUUGAUCGAAUCUCAUCCCACUCAAAAUUUAAAAAAAUCCAAAAAGUGUGUCUUGGGUAUGCAUGUUGUGUAGAAUCACUAGUAUUAACGAUAAUCCAAAAGUGUUCACAAGAUCACUACCAGCCAGUGGCGGAGGACCCGAAUAUGAUCCUUCAGGAGCGCCACACGUCGCAUCUGAACUCGCCCAACCAUAAUCAGACGACACACAAUUACAAGCCAAUAAUCAAUUAUCGCAUAGUGAUUGGUGCCGGCAAUAAUAAAUAAAAAGACGCUUGGAAGAAACGAUUAUUUAUGUAUAAAAAGUAAUUUUGCAUGCUAAUAUUUUUAAAAAUUUUAUUUUGCUCAAUUAAUAUUUAGUUUAUUUUAAAACUGUACUAUACUGAAUCCACAUCGCAAAAUAGAUAUAAAAGGAAUCACAAACAACAACAAAAAUAUAUGCGGGAAUUCUUUAUGUUGUAUGGUAAUAUGUAAAUAAUUUUUUGAUUUGUUUAGAACCAGCUCCACUCUCCCCACAAUCAAAAAUCACAAAACACUCACUCACAUACCAAACCAUGUAAAACUUUUUAUGUAAACUCACACUCACCCGCAAAUUAACCCAAAUGUAACGCUUCCUUUUUUUCUUUUUUUUUAUUAAAUUGUAACUAUCGUAAUGCCGAAAGAGCUAAGGCUUACAGGGACAUGCACCUUUAAAUAAUUAACAUUGUAAUAUAUCUCAAUCCAAAUAAAUAAACUGAAAUACUACUACCCGGCCUCUUAUUCCCUGUCUUCUCUUCUGCUUCUUUUGUGUCUUGAUACUAUGUAAGGUUCUC